rnacentral:misc_RNA from 1 species
GGCUGAGAAACCUGCAACACCAUUAAGCCAAGAUAUAGGACAGAACUCACAGGGCGAGCAAGUGGCUGAGAUAGAAACGAGUGAGGAAUUGAAGAUGGAGAUGUCUCCUAAUUCUGCCCAGGACAAAAAUAUGGAUUCAUUAGAGAAGGCAAUGAAUCGUGCUGCUGCUCGCAAUUUGGAUGUGAAAGGAGGAUCCAGUAUUGCUGCCGGAUUUAAGCAGUAUAAUACAUCUCCAUGCCCAGGACCUCAUGCAGCAGGUAAUUCUCAAUCCCAAGGUCGUUUUACAAUAUAUAACCUAUCAAG